GGGGUGUGACUGCGUACCUUUUGUAUAAUGGGUCAGCGACUUAUAUUCUGUAGCAAGGUUAACCGAAUAGGGGAGCCGGAGGGAAACCGAGUCUUAACCGGGCGUUAAGUUGCAGGGUAUAGACCCGAAACCCGGUGAUCUAGCCAUGGGCAGGUUGAAGGUUGGGUAACACUAACUGGAGGACCGAACCGACUAAUGUUGAAAAAUUAGCGGAUGACCUGUGGCUGGGGGUGAAAGGCCAAUCAAACCGGGAGAUAGCUGGUUCUCCCCGAAAGCUAUUUAGGUAGCGCCUCGUGAAUUCAUCUCCGGGGGUAGAGCACUGUUUCGGCUAGGGGGCCAUCCCGGCUUACCAACCCGAUGCAAACUGCGAAUACCGGAGAAUGUUAUCACGGGAGACACACGGCGGGUGCUAACGUCCGUCGUGAAGAGGGAAACAACCCAGACCGCCAGCUAAGGUCCCAAAGUCAUGGUUAAGUGGGAAACGAUGUGGGAAGGCCCAGACAGCCAGGAUGUUGGCUUAGAAGCAGCCAUCAUUUAAAGAAAGCGUAAUAGCUCACUGGUCGAGUCGGCCUGCGCGGAAGAUGUAACGGGGCUAAACCAUGCACCGAAGCUGCGGCAGCGACACUGAUGUGUUGUUGGGUAGGGGAGCGUUCUGUAAGCCUGUGAAGGUGGCCUGUGAGGGUUGCUGGAGGUAUCAGAAGUGCGAAUGCUGACAUAAGUAACGAUAAAGCGGGUGAAAAGCCCGCUCGCCGGAAGACCAAGGGUUCCUGUCCAACGUUAAUCGGGGCAGGGUGAGUCGACCCCUAAGGCGAGGCCGAAAGGCGUAGUCGAUGGGAAACGGGUUAAUAUUCCCGUACUUGGUGUUACUGCGAAGGGGGGACGGAGAAGGCUAUGUUGGCCGGGCGACGGUUGUCCCGGUUUAAGCGUGUAGGUGUGUGUUCCAGGUAAAUCCGGUUCACUUUAACACUGAGGCGUGACGACGAGGCACUACGGUGCUGAAGCAACAAAUGCCCUGCUUCCAGGAAAAGCCUCUAAGCAUCAGGUAACAUCAAAUCGUACCCCAAACCGACACAGGUGGUCAGGUAGAGAAUACCAAGGCGCUUGAGAGAACUCGGGUGAAGGAACUAGGCAAAAUGGUGCCGUAACUUCGGGAGAAGGCACGCUGACACGUAGGUGAAGUGAUUUACUCA
rnacentral:rRNA from 1 species